UACGAAGGGGGCUAGCGUUGCUCGGAAUCACUGGGCGUAAAGCGCACGUAGGCGGAUUGUUAAGUCAGGGGUGAAAUCCUGGAGCUCAACUCCAGAACUGCCUUUGAUACUGGCGAUCUUGAGUCCGGGAGAGGUGAGUGGAACUGCGAGUGUAGAGGUGAGAUUCGUAGAUAUUCGCAAGAACACCAGUGGCGAAGGCGGCUCACUGGCCCGGUACUGACGCUGAGGUGCGAAAGCGUGGGGAGCAAACAGG
rnacentral:rRNA from 1 species